UGAGCUAAAUGUGUGCUAGGA
rnacentral:miRNA from 1 species